rnacentral:misc_RNA from 1 species
AACUUAACUCUAGCAGUUUUGCUUGGAUAUGAAGGAAGAGCAAGCACAUUGUAGGCUCUCCUUUGAAAUGCAUUAGUAGAUAUAAAGUUGUGAAUUACACUUGUUUUGAUGUAAUAGUCUUUAUUAGUUGUGAUUUGUAUACAGUUAUAUCUUGCUUUAACAAUUGUUUUUUUCUGGGCAGUUGAUUAUAAGAGUCAUAUGAAUCUUAUUUUAAAACACCUGCAAAAAAAUAUAAUUUUAU